CCUACGGUUGGCAGCAGUGAGGAAUAUUGCUCAAUGGCCGCAAGGCUGAAGCAGCAACGCCGCGUGAGGGAUGAAGGAUCUAUGGUCUGUAAACCUCUGUAGAGAAGGAAAAAUAACCCAUUAUAUGGGCUUGAUAGUACUUCUAGAGUAAGCCCCGGCUAACUACGUGCAAGCAGCCGCGGUAAAACGUAGGGGGCGAGCGUUGUCCGGAAUCACUGGGUGUAAAGGGUGCUCAGGCGGGUCGAUAAGUCAGAGGUGAAAUUUCACAGCUUAACUGUGAAUGUGCUUUUGAUACUGUCGGUCUAGAGUUCAGAAGAGGGCAAGGGAAUUCUCGGUGUAGCGGUGAAAUGCGUAGAUAUCAAGAAGAACACCAGUGGCGAAGGCGGUUGCCUGGUCUGUAACUGACGCUCAAGCACGAAAGCGUGGGGAUCAAACA
rnacentral:rRNA from 1 species